UACAGAGGUCUCAAGCGUUGUUCGGAUUCAUUGGGCGUAAAGGGUGCGUAGGUGGCGUCGUAAGUCAGGUGUGAAAUCUCGGGGCUUAACUCCGAAACUGCAUUUGAUACUGCGGUGCUUGAGGACUGGAGAGGAGACUGGAAUUCCCAGUGUAGCGGUGAAAUGCGUAGAUAUUGGGAGGAACACCAGAUGCGAAGGCGGGUCACUGGGCUGAUACUGACGCUAAAGCGCGAAAGCCAGGGGAGCGAACGGG
rnacentral:rRNA from 1 species